rfam:Entamoeba invadens IP1 unplaced genomic scaffold scaff_1105074724344, whole genome shotgun sequence.
GGGGAUGUAGCUCAGAUGGUAGAGCAUUCGCUUAGCAUGCGAGGGGCACGGGGAUCGAUACCCCGCAUCUCCA